GGACCUUGGUCUUAUCGUUAUCUCGAGGGGGGUGGGCAGUUUGACCCAGCCACCCUUAUAACUGGCUCUCUUCAUGGUUCUCUUAAAAUUAAGGCCUUCCUUGCGAGACGAGAAUCUUCACCAUCUGAAUCAUGAAUUUCCUUUGGGCUCAGAAUUUCCUCUGCACAUUGACAGUGGCGCAGCAAAAUAAGUUGCAGCGUGGGAUUUUGGGAAGACAUCUCUGGCCAUCUGAAGUUAUGGGGCAUCUUUGUGCUCUCAGGAUGCUACCACUGAUCAGGAUGAAGGCCUGAAGACACAGACGGCAAUGACAAGAGUGGAGAAGAAGCUCCCUGGCUGCGCUGCACCCCUCGCUGGCACCCUCGGCCUGCUCCAUGCCCCCUGUCUCACUGCUGCUCCAGCCUUCUCAUCGUGGCCCCCACCAGGAAGACCACCAACACUGCUCCACUCACCUUCAUACCUUCACCUAUUCACCUGAACAUAAAUAAAAGAACACCUUUUUUUCCCACUACCACCACCUCCAGUGUGUCUGUGUUCUGCCUGUUGCAACCUAUAGUGGCCACAUACUCUUUAAGCAAAAUGGUGCA
ensembl:lncRNA